UACAUAUAAGCAAUAUAGGGUACUGUUGCUGGGCUCCAUUAUAUUACUGCAAAAAUUUUUUUUAAUGUAAAUAAAAUAUAAUGUACAGACGUUUAUAAGGCGGUAUCUUCGCGGUUAUAUCAUGUUAUUGUAACACACCUAGUUGUAAAUCUAAAGAGUGAAAAAUACAAAAAAGUUGUAUUGAUGGCGUGUUUACCAAACCCAUGUAUUAUACUUACAUAUUAACAUAAUAAUAAUGAUAUUAUUAUUACAAAUUACUGAAUCGGACUACAGAUUGCUUAUUAAGAUGCUCGCCAGACAAUAAAAUGACCCAUAUAGCGUCUAUACUUUCUACUUUGUCAUUUUUCUCUUUAUCUCCAAAAAAGAAAAUGCUCAUAUAAAGGAAAUUUCGGGAGCCAAUAGUCUCAGAUCAUUCCUCUACUCAAAUCUUUUGAAGUGAACCAGAUCAACUAUUUCUGUGGUAUAUUGGUCUCGUAAAAUAAAAUGCAAAGGAAAUCCGUAUACAAUCGCGAUUUAUUAUUUCAUUACAAACAUCUCUUCUUUUAUUGUUCCUGCUUUAUAACAUAAAACAAUAAGAUGAACUCUUAGCGUAAUUCUGCUUGUCAUGUUACGUGCACUCAAUUUUAUUAUGCUUUGUUUUAUUUUAUACAAUGAUAAGACACAAGGGUCUACGAUGAAAAUGGUGCAAGUCUAAUGAUAACGCUAAGAGGAUUAAACUGAUAUAUAUACAAAAUGAAAAUUUAAUUAAAUAGGAUAACAAUAAAUGAAAUAUUGUAUAAGGUUUGAGUAGUCAGUGUGUGUGUGACUGCAGUCUGCCCCAUAUAUUAUAUGUACAAAGAAUGAGUAUAAUUCAUUAUUAAUAAUUAUUAUGUAACGACGUUCGUUGCGUUAUAUUGUUGCUAUGUUGUCAUAUUAAUUAAUGUAAAUAAUUAUAAUAAAUUACAUAUCUUUAUAGUAAAUUGCGCAGCGCGCAAAAAAGCGGUACCUAUAUAUCAGAGCUGUCUAAAUUAGCUGGUCACAAACGACAAUUUUGCUCAAUUUUUCCUUCUUUCUCACUUCUAUUUAACCCUCUUAACUAUCAAAGAAAAGACAAUAACAGAGCAAAAUAGUUGCGAAUGCUUAAUUAGACAGCCCUAAAAUAUGUUAUGAGCGAUUCUCAAUGGCUGUAUGUGUGUAUGUGUGAUUCUAAAUAUAUAUAUAUUUAUAUAUAUAUUUAAUAUAUAUUCCUAGAAAAAUACUUCUAUUAUAUGUUCACGUAUCAACAAUAAUAAGUAUUAACAAUAGCUCUCAGACAAAUAUGUGGUUGAGCGCAGUAUUUAAAUUAGAAAACAUUUGUAGAUAUUUUUAUCCAAUUUAUACUGACUCCUACUGCAAUAAAAUUUUGUAUAGCAACAAACCUUUGUGCAAUGUAAUAAUCAUUAAUACUCAAAUAAUGAAAUAUAAACAAUGUUAUAUUAAGUUUUUUUUACAAUUGGAAUCCAAAAGUUUACUUUUGAAACACUGAAGAAAACAUUACCUCAUAAGAUGGACAUACGUUUUAUGAGGAUUAAUAACAACUAGAAAUUACUAAUUAUUCGAUGAGAUAAUUAAGUCUUAUCAAAUAUAUAUUAUCAAAAGGUGAUGUUUGGAAGAUAAAUUAUUUAAGUAAAUUGAUAAUAUAACGCGGAAAAGAUAACACGGGAUAAAUAACUGUAGCGCGGCGCUUAAUGAUAAUUUUUACAGUAAACGCGUUUAAUACAACCAAAAAUAAGUGUGAUAUCUAAAUCGAUGAUGUUUUAACGCAACGUGAAUCCCGUGAACUUCUCCGAUCAGAAAUGUUACGGACAAUCGAUAAAAUCACCUUAUCAAAUUGUACGAAUUUCCCGAUUCGUCCGUGUUACCCGUGUACAAUAUUUUAAUUUUUGUGAACGUCUUGUAAAACGCAAAUUCAGUAUGUAUUCACAUUCUGCGUUGCGGUCCAUACAUCAGUAAAUCUCUAAAUCGUUUUUCUAUUGAUAUCUCUAAAUAUAUUCUAUAAUUGAAAAAAAAAAAAUAAACUUACAUUAUAUA